rnacentral:lncRNA from 1 species
CCCUCCCCCACUUACCUCAAAGACUCACCAACCACUCAGCCAUUGCCAUCGGGAGGUCGGGCUGAGCAUGCCGGGAAAGUAGGAGGAUUAGAGAUGCAGAGUCCAGACGCCAACGACGCUGUCAUCUCUGGUUCACAGUGUGCAUGUGCAUACUGCCUGGUUCUGAAAACUUCAGUCUCCACAGGGUUGAGCCUCUGCAGAGCUGAGGAGAAUUGAAGUAAUCACCACAACCCAGAGUUUCCUUGUCCAGUUACCACUGUCAUGUUUCACUUUUGGUGAUCACUUGCUGGGCCAGAGGUAUUUCAGAACAUCUCCAGUGCAGGCAGAGGUUCAUAUAAUUGAUCUCACCACUUACUCUGAAAAGAGAAGAUGAGAAACACUGUGGCCUAGUGG